AGCUUAGUAGCUCAGGGGAAGAGCGCCGGGCUCAUAACCCGGAGGUCACUGGAUCGAAACCAGUCUAAGCUA